ACCUAACUGGCUCAGUCAGUAGAGCAUGCGACUCUUGACCUCCGGGUUGUGAGUUCAAGCCCCACGUAGGGUG
rfam:Ailuropoda melanoleuca scaffold1597_6, whole genome shotgun sequence.